rnacentral:rRNA from 1 species
UUGGCUCAGGAUGAACGCUGGCGGCGUGCCUAACACAUGCAAGUCGAGCGGGAAGCUCACAAAUGAUUCUUCGGAUGAAUGCGUGAGUGGACAGCGGCGGACGGGUGAGUAACGCGUGGGCAACCUGCCCCUUACUGAAGGAUAGCCGAGGGAAACUUCGAGUAAUACUUCAUAAUGCAUUUUCUUCACAUGGAGGGAAUGCCAAAGAUUUAUCGGUAAGGGAUGGGCCCGCGUCCGAUUAGCUAGUUGGUGAGGUAGCGGCUCACCAAGGCGACGAUCGGUAGCCGGCCUGAGAGGGCGGACGGCCACAUUGGAACUGAGACACGGCCCAGACUCCUACGGGAGGCAGCAGUGGGGAAUA